rnacentral:rRNA from 1 species
UACGGAGGGUGCAAGCGUUAUCCGGAUUCACUGGGUUUAAAGGGUGCGUAGGUGGGCAAGUAAGUCAGUGGUGAAAUCUUCGGGCUUAACCCGGAAACUGCCAUUGAUACUAUUGAUCUUGAAUACCGUGGAGGUCAGCGGAAUAUGUCAUGUAGCGGUGAAAUGCUUAGAUAUGACAUAGAACACCAAUUGCGAAGGCAGCUGGCUACGCGAAUAUUGACACUGAUGCACGAAAGCGUGGGGAUCAAACAGG